rnacentral:lncRNA from 1 species
UUUUAGAGCAGGAGUGAGAGUUUAUUAAAAAGUUUUAGAGCAGGAACAAAAGGAAGUACACUACACUUGGGUCAGGCAGGCAACUUGAGAGAUCUAAGUGCCCUGCCUGACCCUUAACUUGGGGUUUUAUGUAUUUGGCAUAGUUCUGGGAUUUACGUCUCAUCUCCCCUGAUUCUUCCCUUGCAGCAGGCUGUCCGCGUAUGUGGUGACCUGCCAGCACUUGGAAGGGGUCGCAUGCACAGUGUGAUUACUGAAGUUGCGCGCAUGCUCACUUGAGGCAUUUUUCCCCUUACCAGUCGUGCGUUCCCAGAGGAAGGUAGGUCAUAUACUGGUUAAAUUCCGCCAUUUUGCCUCUUGGUGCGCAUGCUCCAGGCUGCUUGCCCAGCUCCUGAGAUCUUAUCGGGAAGCGGCUGAUCACCAGAUCAGGGUGUUUUGUAUCUAUUGAGAGACUGUCCUUGCUUGGAGCUGGCUGCAACCAAUUAUUAUUUUACAGAGACAGUUUAACAACCACCUGACCAUCACCUGAUGGUAGCCUGACAUUCCUGUGGGGGCCCUCACCUGUCCUGCUCAUGUUUGCCUAGCUCCCUACUCUAACAUUUCCACUCUGUGGACCCCAGGUUGAGAUCUUCUGCAGGGAAGACUGUCCUCAAAUAGCCUGCUGGGGAGACAUCUCCUUCCCGUUUACCUUUCCAUUUGCCCUUGCGGUGUUAGGCAAAGGCUGAAGCUGGCCUCUGUGGCAGAGGGUUUCUUCCCAACACGCCAAUGACGCUGGUGGAGAGUCUUAAAAACAGCUGUGCUGGGGAGAGUUCUUGGUGUGUACCUUUCAGAGACCUCCUCCUUAAGACUCUCAAAGACUGAGUCAGGCCAGUGGGAGCCUGGCAGCAAUUCUUAGGGGACAGUGACAGCUUUUUGAGGAGGACUAAUUGGCUUCUAGGGCUGGAGGCCACUUGGGUCUGACAGACUGCCCUGCUGCCAUCCCUCCAGGGCACCCCCCACUCCCUUGCCUCAGGGCCUUCCUGCACUUCUUCCUUUUGUCCUCAAUGUUCUUCACCCCACCUUUUCCACUGGUACCCUCUGCCUAUGGUCAAGGCUUUGGUGAGACCCACUUUCCUCUUAGACCUUCCUGGAUCCCCCAAAGUCUGUGUUGGAAGCCCCUCCCAUGUGCCCUUGUUUGAGCUUUUAAUUUUCCACCAUGACGCUUGUCACACUGCUUUGUAAUUGGCUCUCUGUUAGUCUGCAUCUCUACUGGGUUGUACCUUCCAGGAGGACAGCUGCCAUGUGACUCUUGUAAUCUUCCCACCGCCAACACCCAGCACAGCGUCAGGAACACAGAGCAUGAUGAGCACAAGCUUGUUGAGCAAACAGACAAAUAACUGGAUGCUUCUGUGCAGAGUUUCUCAACCUGGCCAUUAUUGGCAUUUGGGACUUGAUCAUGCUUGGUCGUGGGAGACGGUUCUGUGCCUGUAGGAUGUUUAGGAGCAUGCUUGGUUUCUACCCACCAGAUGCCGGGAGCACACCCACCCAGCUGUGACAACCAAAAAUGUCUCCAGACACCAUUCCAAAACCAGCGGGAGACAAAAUCGCCCGACAGUCGUUGCUUUAGUGAGUGAAUGUUGACCUAAGCGUCACUUCGCCUGUCUUGAGUCUAGGUCGGGGAGUGGGUUCAGUUAGCCAAUCAGAGAACGCUGAUGGGGCGACCAGUAUAUGCUCAUGAAAUGGGUGGCUGACCUCUUGGGGUCAGAAGAGGGAAAAGUUUUACUGUGUGUUGGCUAAGGACCAUUUUAAGUCCUUCAGUGACCGAUUACCACAUGAGAACACAAGAGGGCGCUCUAACUAAUGAGUUCCGCGGCCGAGAAAACUCCUGGAGUGGGUGCUCCUGGGAUGCUUCAGGUUUAGACACCGGGGUUACGGCAGCUGCCGAGGAAGGCUAAAGCCAGCGUCCUGGAUUCAGACAGACCUUUUAGCCAUUAAAUCCACUAAGAAAGAUCCCUGCGCAUGAAGUUUCCUCCUCGGAAAUAUAGGCAGAAGGGAAAGUAAUUUUAAACUCAAAACAAAAAAUUCAGUCGUGCUGCAUAAGUAAGGCACCAGGAGUAGGAAUAGGGUCUUUGCAGCUCCCGUGGCAAUUGCCCUUCUCUGGUGGUGGCAAGGGACUAAGGAACUCCCUGGACACAGGGGAUCUGGCUGUCCCCAGAUCAUCAACAGAGACAUGAAGGUCGUUAGAGGUCGUCUGAUCCUUUGACCUCAAUCUGAGCCCACCACUCAGAAAACCUGGAAAUUGUAUGACAUUUUCGUGAUACAACUCGGUGUGUGUGUGUUGGGGAAAGGAACCAACAGCUUUCAUCAUAUUGUCAAAAGAGUCUAGGCUGGGCAUGGUGGCUCACGCCUGCAAUCCCAACCCAAAGGCCUGUGGAGCACACAUGAGGACAAGGCGGGCAGAUCACCAAAGGUCAGGCAUUCGAGAUCAGCCUGGCCAACGUGGUGAAACCCCAUCUCUACUAAAAAUACAAAAAUUAGCCAGGCGUGGUGACAUGUGCCUGUAAUCCCAGCUACUCGGGAGGCUGAGACAGGAGAACUGCUUGAACCCAGGAGGCGGAGGUUGCAGUGAGCAGAGGUUGCGCCGCUGCAGUCCAGCCCGGGCAACAAGAGCGAAUCUCCGUCUCAAAACAACAAAACAAAAACAUAGACCUGCUCGGUUCUCUCUGUGACUUCAGAGGCCCAAGGAGUCCUCAGCACUAUAGAUGCAUGUGGCCCCUCAGAAGACAACAUUUCACAGAUCUGCAAAGAGCAAAGGUCAAAUUUAUUUAAUACAACAUCCACGAGGGUCCCUGCAGCUGUGUCACUGAGGCAAACAGGAAAAGUGAUUUUGGCUAGGCGUGGUUCUCAUCUGUGAAAUUCCACAGCGCAAUGACAGCAGCCUCUCUCCCACCCACUCAAGACACUGUCAGGAAUGUCUUAAGACCUCAGGAGACCACUUCUUUAGCAAGCAAUUUUGUUUUUUGUUUUUUUUGAGAUGGAUUCUCACUCUGUCACUCAGGCUGGAGUGCAGUGGCGCGAUCUCCGCUCACUACAACCUCCGUUUCCUGGGUUCAAGCGAUAAUCUCACCUCAGCCUCUUGAGUAGCUGAUACUACAGGCAUGCGCCACCACGCCCGGCUAAUUCUUGUAUUUUUAGUAGAGACAGGGUUUCAUCAGGCUGGUCUCAAACUCCUGACCUCAGGUGAUCCGCCCACCUCAGCCUCCUGAAGUGCUGGGAUUACAGGCGUGAGCCACCUUGCCUGCCCUGGCAAGGAAUACAUUUUUAAAAAUUAGUAAGAAACAUACACAUUUCAAGUUUUCAAUUAAGAAUAAUAUUUGCUGAUGGCACCAUCUUCCUGUCUUUCAGCCUUCAGCAUGGUAGAGGAAAAGAGAAAGAGUGUAGACAAAAACAGUUGAAGAACAUCUGUGCUUGUUCCACCUUCAUUUUCUGUUUUGUGCGUUGCCUGAAUGAACGGUGUCUUCAGGUUGGUAUUUCACAGGCGGUGCUCCCAAGUAGUCUGGUUUUCCCAUUUGUGGAGGGCGAGGUCAUAGAGGGGACAGGGGGAGGCUGUCUGGUCAGCACUGUGUAUUUCCAAAGAACAAGGACUAGCCAAAACUACAAGCCUUUGAAGGACCAAAGGAAAAGAGAAAAAACCAGCCUCUAACCAGGCCAUGCGCUAGAAAUGAUUGAGUAUAAAAAAGAAAAUUGGUUUCUGUGUAUGAGGGUGCAUGGAAAAGGUCUUUAUCUCUGCACAAAACAAAAUAUUCAAGUUUCAGAAUAUCCCAAUGGCCUUGCCCUGGAUCUCCUCUUGUGCUCUUCCAAUUUCCAAGGAUGUUCCAACUUGGUGGAAGGAGGGUAUGUGGGAAAUUCAACAGCCCCUCUGUAUCUCUUUCUACCCAACAUUAACUUAGCAGGAUGGAUUUAAGAACCGGCAGCUUAGCCUGAGGAAUUGCUGUGUUCUGUGGGAGCAGGGCAGGUUCAUAAAUAAGUGCACAGAGGUCUUGAAAUACAGGGAUUAUCUGUUCUUCUCGGAACAUGGAUGUCCUUCCAGGGAUGUGCAUCUGGCCUUGCUGUCUAAGUUCCAUCAAGGGAGCCUUCCGUUCUCUGUAGCGACAAGAAACAAGGCAAGUUAUGAUCACACCUCUCAAGAUUGAAGAUUGCCCUGGUGGAGAGAAAUGCAAAAUGACAGCACUUCUCAAAGAAAAUGCAAAGCAGGGCUGUCACACACUGGUCCCCCACCCUGCAGGGUUCUCUCUGUGACUUCAGAGGCCCAAGGAGUCCUCAGCACUACAGAUACACGUGGCCCCUCAGAAGACAACAUUUCACAGAUCUGCAAAGAAUAAAGGUCAAAUUUACUUAAUACAACACCCACCAGGGUUCCUGCAGCUGUGUCACUGAGGCAAACAGGGAAAGUAAUUUUGGUUAGGUGUGGUUCUCACCUCUGAAAUUCCACAGCACAAUGACUGCAGCCUCUCUCCCACCCACUCAAGACAUUGUCAGGAACGUCUUAAGACCUCAGGAGACCACUUCUUUAGCAAGCAAUUUUUUUUAGAUGGAUUCUCACUCUGUCACUCAGGCUGGAGUGCAGUGGCGCGGUCUCUGCUCACUACACCCUCCCUCUCCUGGCUCCUGCCCGUAUGUAUUUCUCCUUCUCUCCAUGCCUGCUCUGUAGGGACCAUAGCCUCUGUCCCUGCAUACAUGUUGGACAUCAAUCACAUCAGUCCACCAAGUAACUUCAUCAAGCACCCAUGUACGCCCAGCACAGCGUCCCAAGGGUGCCCCACUUACCCACAGAAGAAGAAAGGCAACUUUGUAAGAGAUCUGACUUCUAGCUCCAGUUCUGUCUCUAGCUAACGUGAGAUGUACCCGUUUGAGGCCUGUUUUUUAAUUUUGAAAAUGAAGGACUGAACUUAGAUGGUCCAACUGAAAUGUUUUAAAAUGAUAUGAUUCUACCUUAAAAAGAGAAUGAAAUUCUGAUAUAUUUUCAACACAGGAAAACCUUGAAAACGUUAUGCUAAAUGAAAUAAGGCAGACAUGAAAGGACAAAUAUAUGAUUCCACUUAUGUGAUGUACCUCAAAUAGUCAAAUUCAUAGAGACAGAAAGUAGACAGUGGUUGCUAGGGGUUGCUGGAGGGGCAAUGGGGAGUUAGUGUUUAAUGGGUACAGUGUUUCAGUGGCUGCUCUGCCUAUGGAGUAGCCAUUCUUUUGUUUCUUUACUUCUCUAAUAAACUUGCUUUCACUUAAAAAGAAAAAGCUCUGGAGAUGGAUAGUGGUGGUGGUUGCACAGCAAUGUGAACGGACCUAAUGCAACUGAAUUAUACACUUUAAAAUGGUUAAGUAUACACUGGAAAAUGGUGAAUUUGCCGGGCGGGCGCAGUGGCUCACGCCUGUAAUCCCAACACUUUGGGAGGCCGAGGCGGGUG